AACGUAGGAGACAAACGUUAUCCGGAGUUACUGGGCGUAAAGGGCGUGUAGGUGGUAGUGUAAGUCUGGCGUGAAAUUUUUCGGCUUAACCGGGAAAGGUCGUCGGAUACUGCACAACUAGAGGACGGUAGAGGCGUGUGGAAUUCCGGGUGUAGUGGUGAAAUGCGUAGAUAUCAAGAGGAACACCUGCGGCGAAGGCGGGUUGCUGGGCCGACACUGACGCUGAGGCGCGAAAGCUAGGGGAGCGAACGGG
rnacentral:rRNA from 1 species